GCCGGGGUGGUGAAACUGGUAGACACACAGGACUUAAAAUCCUGAGGCUCGAAAGGGCCGUGCGGGUUCGAGUCCCGCCCUCGGCA
rnacentral:tRNA from 1 species